rnacentral:rRNA from 1 species
GCUUCUUUUUCCACCGGAGCUUGCUCCACCGGAAAAAGAAGAGUGGCGAACGGGUGAGUAACACGUGGGUAACCUGCCCAUCAGAAGGGGAUAACACUUGGAAACAGGUGCUAAUACCGUAUAACAAUCGAAACCGCAUGGUUUUGAUUUGAAAGGCGCUUUCGGGUGUCGCUGAUGGAUGGACCCGCGGUGCAUUAGCUAGUUGGUGAGGUAACGGCUCACCAAGGCCACGAUGCAUAGCCGACCUGAGAGGGUGAUCGGCCACAUUGGGACUGAGACACGGCCCAAACUCCUACGGGAGGCAGCAGUAGGGAAUCUUCGGCAAUGGACGAAAGUCUGACCGAGCAACGCCGCGUGAGUGAAGAAGGUUUUCGGAUCGUAAAACUCUGUUGUUAGAGAAGAACAAGGAUGAGAGUAACUGUUCAUCCCUUGACGGUAUCUAACCAGAAAGCCACGGCUAACUACGUGC